CCUACGGGUGCAGCAGUGAGGAAUAUUGGUCCAUGGGCGCGAGCCUGAACCAGCCAAGUAGCGUGAAGGAUGACUGCCCUACGGGUUGUAAACUUCUUUUAUAAAGGAAUUAAGUGAGGCCCGUGUGCCUUUUUGUAUGUACUUUAUUAAUAAGGAUCGGCUAACUUCGUGCCAGCAGCCGCGGUAAUACGGAGGAUCCGAGCGUUAUCCGGAUUUAUUUGGGUUAAAGGGAGCGUAGAUGGGUUGUUAAGUCAGUUGUGAAAGUUUGCGGCUCAACCGUAAAAUUGCAAUUGAUACUGGCAGUCUUGAGUACAGUUGAGGUAGGCGGAAUUCGUGGUGUAGCGGUGAAAUGCUUAGAUAUCACGAAGAACCCCGAUUGCGAAGGCAGCUUACUAAACUGUGACUGACAUUGAUGCUCGAAAGUGUGGAUAUCAAACAGGAUUAGAUACCCUUGUAGUC
rnacentral:rRNA from 1 species